UCCCUGGUGGUCUAGUGGCUAAGACUCCACAUUCCCAGCUCAGGGGGCCCAGGUUCGAUCCCUGGUUGGGGAA
rnacentral:tRNA from 1 species